rnacentral:rRNA from 1 species
AACGAACGCUGGCGGCAGGCCUAACACAUGCAAGUCGAACGAGAAAUCACCCUUCGGGGUGAGAGUAUAGUGGCGCACGGGUGAGUAACGCGUGGGAACCUACCUUGGAGUACGGAAUAACUCAGGGAAACUUGAGCUAAUACCGUAUACGCCCUACGGGGGAAAGAUUUAUCGCUCUGGGAUAGGCCCGCGUUAGAUUAGCUAGUUGGUGAGGUAAUGGCUCACCAAGGCUCCGAUCUAUAGCUGGUUUGAGAGGAUGAUCAGCCACACUGGAACUGAGACACGGUCCAG